CGCAUCUGUGCAUGCAGUAUAUCAAUAAGCGGAGGAAAAGAAACUAACAAGGAUUCCCCUAGUAACGGCGAGUGAAGCGGGAAGAGCUCAAAUUUGAAAUCUUAAAGGGUUUCCCUUUACGAAUUGUAGUUUAAAGAAGUGUUUUCUGUUGAGGUUUUGGUAAAAGUUCUUUGGAAUAGGACAUCAUAGAGGGUGAGAAUCCCGUAUUUGACCUUUACUUUCAACUUUGUGAUACACUUUCAAAGAGUCGGAUUGUUUGGGAAUGCAGUCCAAAAUGGGUGGUAAAUUUCAUCUAAAGCUAAAUAUUGGCGAGAGACCGAUAGCGAACAAGUACCGUGAGGGAAAGAUGAAAAGAACUUUGAAAAGAGAGUUAAACAGCUACGUGAAAUUGUCAAAAGGGAAGCGUUUGACACCAGUGUUGUUUUUCUGAAAAUCAAUUAAAGAACUGUUUAUGCUAAGCUGUUUAGACUUUAUCAGCUAUCUGUUUAGUUUUGAGCUUUUCUUUAAUGCACUUUUCAGUUAACAAGUCAACAUCAAUUUCUUUUGCUGUAAAAAAGCUUGAGGAAGGUGGCUUGAGAUUCGUCUUAAGUGUUUAUAGCCUCUUGCCUAUGCAGUCGGAGAGAUUGAGGUCUGCAGCGUAGAUCCUUCGGGGCUAAAUGCAUUUGUGCUAAGUUAUAGCAUUUUAUAGACAACUUGUUGACUAUGAUUUGUCUUGUAGCUUACUCGCUUAUGUUAUUUUACCUACGCUUAGGAUGUUGAGUCGUAGAGCACGCAG
rnacentral:rRNA from 1 species